GGAAAAACCUCGAUCUUAAGUAGUUCUAGCCUAGAGAGAGAGGACCGGUCGUGACCAAACGCGAUCCAUCUGUCAAGAUCAUUGGAACAAGCACAGCUUUAUUUAGACCGGAUUUUCGAUAGUGAAUUGCACGUGACGAUAUAAACAAUGUCACUUUGAUAUCAAUGGGUGCGAUACAACGUUGUAAAUGGUUCCUGAAGAAGCACACAUAGAUGCGUCGUGAUUGAAUACAUUUUGCAAACCGCAUUCGCUCGAAUUAACACGAUUCUCUGAGUCACUGUUGCACGACUAUUUCUGGAAUGUAUAAUAAUACACCAGUGACCAAUUUGUGGAUUGUACAGUCUGUGGAAGGAAUAUAACGAGGAGGAAUGCAGAGUCGGUCAGGCAUCAAAGUUUGCAUACGAAGUUUGAGAGAAAUUGGAGAGAACACGAGAGACCGACCGAAGUUGCGCAAAGUUGUUACGCUUCGUGACAAUGUUACAAUGUUUUCUUCAACGCAACGCAUGGAAUUAAGCGACACACCUUAGAUUAGGUGGUUCGUUUCCGCAACAUUAAUCAACGGAAACAAUUUAAAGAGGCUUAAAGAUUCUUCUCUAGAUAGCAUCGUCCAUAACAUCUUACGUAGUUCUAUACGCAACUUUAUAUUGUUAACCGAGAGAUAUGACUCUGAUCUCCGACUAUCGAUAAUCCUGUGUUACAAAUGCCAAUGUAACACAAUUUUCAAAAAUUGGCGUCACUAUAAAUCGUAUUAAUCGACAUUAAAACGUGAUUCGUUUCGCGUUAAAGAAAAGAAGGAUCAUCAGUUGGCAAACGACAAUCGCCUUUCUUAUAUCGGCCAGCUAGAUUUCUGACACCUUUUUUUAAAAGGAACCGAAAGACACGGCUGGUUCGUUUGGGUGGAGGCCAAGCUUGACCAUCGAUAACGAGGUCACUAUGAUGCUUACAUAUUGAUUGUUUAUUGCUACGGGUUUGCGCAAGCUGCCAUGUGCCAAGAUUAACGGUGCAAACCAAACCACGAACCGUACAGGACAAUGGCAAGUUCAACUUUCGAGUUGGAUGGACAAUUGAAUAGUUGGGCAGAAUGUGUAUUCACGAAGAAAAAAGUACCGAAUUCUACACGAGAAAUUUUUCGCGAUGACAUGGAAUAAAAGGGUCAAGUUUCCAGGAAGAAAAUGUUUCCAUGGUCCCCAAGGACGAGUCGCUUCAUUCCAAGUCACCGGUAGUGGUGUAAUUAAACAGAUAAUUACGAUCGCGCGACGCGAUUCCUGGAGAUCCAGCCUCGUUUUACCGUGCAAUAAAUAAGCUUGCGUACAGGAAACGACGCCAUAUUCGUCAUAGCGUCGCAGCUCGGGAAUAGCUUUCGUAUGUAAUGUCGUCUGCACGGCUAUCCGUGCACGUGAACUGCGUAAAUACCAUGUACAAGAAUUUUCAGUGAAUAAAUUGAAGACAACUUCAUGUCUUGUUUAUAGAAGAGUGAUGACAAGUAUUUUUUGAUAAAAAAUCGAUUAUAUGUUAAUUACGAUUUCUCGUUUGUUACUACUAGAAUACGAAGUUACAAAUUAUCAAAGGAAUUGAUGAGAAUCUGAUAGUCUAAAAAGAAAAUUAUUAUGCAACGUGAAACAGUGAAAUAGAUUCGUCAAAUGCGUAAUAAUUUCUAAACGUAUCACGAUUUUUU